rnacentral:rRNA from 1 species
GUGGGGAAUCUUCCGCAAUGGACGAAAGUCUGACGGAGCAACGCCGCGUGAGUGAUGAAGGUCUUCGGAUUGUAAAGCUCUGUUAAUCGGGACGAAAGAGCCUAGUGUGAAUAAUGCUAGGAAGUGACGGUACCGGAAUAGAAAGCCACGGCUAACUACGUGCCAGCAGCCGCGGUAAUACGUAGGUGGCAAGCGUUGUCCGGAAUUAUUGGGCGUAAAGCGCGCGCAGGCGGAUCUGCCAGUCUGUCUUAAAAGUUCGGGGCUUAACCCCGUGAUGGGAUGAAAACUACAGAUCUAGAGUAUCGGAGAGGAAAGUGGAAUUCCUAGUGUAGCGGUGAAAUGCGUAGAUAUUAGGAAGAACACCAGUGGCGAAGGCGACUUUCUGGACGAAAACUGACGCUGAGGCGCGAAAGCCAGGGGAGCGAACGGGAUUAGAUACCCCAGUAGUCC